GGGUGGAGCUGAGUGGCAAUGAGAAGAAGGAAAGAAAGGAAAGGAAGAUUGAAGAGAAGUCUUGGAGGAAGCACAUGGAGCAGAGGGGGCUGCUGAAAUACUCAUUUCAGCUGGUUGCCACCAUUAACUAAGAGUUGUUUCCUGAUUUUUAAAAAGCACAAAAAGAAACUAGGUGGGGAAAUUGGCAGAAGGAAAUUCUUGGUCACAGCAAUGACUCACCUGAAAACGUUAAGUACUCGUCUGAAAAAAAUAAAACUGGACUUCAGAAGUGGCUUUCAAUUUUAAAUAAAAUGUCUGCUUCAUUAAUCUGCUAUCUCUUGCUAGGUCUCACUUCAAUUUUUU